CCUACGGGAGGCAGCAGUGGGGAAUAUUGGACAAUGGGGGGAACCCUGAUCCAGCCAUGCCGCGUGUGUGAAGAAGGCCCUCGGGUUGUAAAGCACUUUCAGUGAGGAAGAACGCCUGGUGGUUAAUACCCAUCAGGAAAGACAUCACUCACAGAAGAAGCACCGGCUAACUCCGUGCCAGCAGCCGCGGUAAUACGGAGGGUGCGAGCGUUAAUCGGAAUUACUGGGCGUAAAGCGCGCGUAGGUGGCUUGAUAAGCCGGUUGUGAAAGCCCCGGGCUCAACCUGGGAACGGCAUCCGGAACUGUCAAGCUAGAGUGCAGGAGAGGAAGGUAGAAUUCCCGGUGUAGCGGUGAAAUGCGUAGAGAUCGGGAGGAAUAACAGUGGCGAAGGCGGCCUUCUGGACUGACACUGACACUGAGGUGCGAAAGCGUGGGUAGCAAACAGGAUUAGAGACCCCAGUAGUC
rnacentral:rRNA from 1 species